rnacentral:rRNA from 1 species
AGAUUGAACGCUGGCGGCAUGCCUUACACAUGCAAGUCGAACGCGAAAGGGGGGCAACCCCCGAGUAGAGUGGCGAACGGGUGAGUAAUACAUCGGAACGUGUCCUGUAGCGGGGGAUAACCUCUCGAAAGAGAGGCUAAUACCACAUACGACCUACGGGUGAAAGAGGGGGAUCGCAAGACCUCUCACUAUUGGAGCGGCCGAUGUCGGAUUAGCUAGUUGGCGGGGUGAAAGCCCACCAAGGCGACGAUCCGUAGCUGGUCUGAGAGGACGACCAGCCACACUGGAACUGAGACACGGUCCAGACUCCUACGGAGGCAGCAGUGGGAUUUGGACAAGUGGGCGCAAGCCUGACUCCAGCCAUGCCGCGUGAGUGAAGAAGGCCUUGGGUUGUAAAGCUUCGUUCGGCGGGUACGAAAAGGUCCGUACGUUAACACCAUGGAUCAUCGACCGGUACCCGCAAGAAGAAGCGACCGACGUAACUACGUG